AAAAAAAGGAUCUGAAUUUAAUUGAUGCAUUACCAAAUGAAGAUACUUAUUUGCAAUUUACUG
rnacentral:snoRNA from 1 species